GCCUAGGUGGCUCAGUCGGUUAAGCGUCUGACUUCAGGUCAGGUGGUGAUCUUGCAGUUUGUGGGUUCAAGCCCCGCGUCAGGCU
rnacentral:tRNA from 1 species